rnacentral:rRNA from 1 species
UACGUAGGUGUCAAGCGUUGUCCGGAUUUAUUGGGCGUAAAGCGCCCGCAGGCGGCUUGCCAAGUUCGAUGUGAAAUCUCCCGGCUUAACUGGGAGGGUGCAUCGAAAACUGGCAGGCUUGAGGCAGGGAGAGGGAUGUGGAAUUCCAGGUGUAGCGGUGGAAUGCGCAGAUAUCAGGAGGAACACCGGUGGCGAAGGCGGAUCUCUGGGCCUUACCUGACGCUCAGGCGCGAAAGCUAGGAGAGCGAACAGG